CAUCGACACUGAGCCCAGCACCCAUCGCACCGCGCUGGCGUGCCCAUGGUCGUUAACGUCGCUGGACACGACCACUGGGGUGCUGGGUGGAGAGGAUGCUAAAUGGUGGUGGUGGGUGAGGGAUGUGCCCUUGUAGAAGAAGUGUCUUUUUGGCACCAAAAAAAAGAAGGAACAUUACCCGAAAGCGAGUGAUAUCAAGAAGGUAACCACUGGGAGCAGAUUCGAGAAAGUUGCAGCAAAUGUUGCUGUUGUGUACUCCAAUCCGACGAAGAGCGUGUACUGAAGCAGCACCGGACCGAGGAUUCCACUAAGGAACAUGUACACAAAGACCUCAGCAGUGAACUUUGGUCUUCUCUUUCUGAAAGAAGAAGAAAAAAAGGCAGUGCAUGUGCAUGAUCAGCAGCAGUGCAAUACCAGCGACAACUACUGGCAAUGGGGCCAAGGAAUACAGUGGCCAGCAUCUGCCUGAAAGUGAUGAGGACCAGCCGGUUCAUCCCCUGGUUCAGCGCCUGCUUGAGAAGCGCAGUCAUGACGGCAAUCACGAUGUUCGUGACCACCAUCGCUGCUGUUGGCAUCCAUUGCUCCAUGCAUCCUGCACUCCACAUUCUCGGCAUGUUUCCGAUUGCGGCUUUGCUUUCGCACACGUGACCGAGAACUAAAACAUGGCCCAAGAGGAAGGAGGACAAUGGUUGUGUCCUGACAUCAGAAUGUCUGAAUAAUUGUGGAAAUUUCUCGAGCAAAUUGCACAACCAGCUGAAUCGAAUAGCUGCCUUUAUUACACAGUGCAGCGGAACAAAUGCCAUAAGAUGAUACUGACAUGAAUUGUCAAGAUAUUUCCUCUAUUGCGGAGCUGGCGGUGGCAGUGGAAGCAGCAGCCAGAAAGAUACCACUGUUUGCACACUUUGGUGAGUUUGGCAGGUUCCUGUUUGGACUACAAACUUGACCCUAUUCUUAUCAUGGUAAGGGUGCAAAGCUGUUCAGUUGUGCAAAAAAGGCGGCACCAUCCCAUCCGAUCCAAUCCAAAGGAAAAGCAGGAUGGUGAGUUGUAAGUGGAGUGAUCACCUAGUAUGAAAGCUCCCCGUCUCAUCCAUGUCCCUUGAAAAUUGGAGCAACAGCAAGACCGAGGGCCGAGCUCAGCUCCCAAUUGCAGCGAAGGAACAACGAAAGCAGGUUGUCGCAAUGUGGCAUUGCCCAUGGUGGAACUGCACUUGGCUGCAACAGCAUUUUUACUUCAUGAUCAGGAAAUGGCCAGCGAGCCAGAGCUAGCCCCUAGAUGUAGCAGGGAAGAAUAAUCUCCAUCGCCGACAACCUCUAGUAGAUCCAGACCGGUGCGGUGACACCAAAUUCAUCAGAUGUAGUCUACGCACAUUAUGCGGCGAGCAUCAACCCACUUGUCACUUUCAGUUGAGACGACGUUACCGCCACUUGUCCACUUGUUUUUACUGCAGGGGGUGGAUUCAGACAAGCUGCUGAAUUAUGCACAUCCAAAGUAUAGCAUGACUGUUCAGAUCACAAUCUAAGCCACACAUGCAGCCAUAUCCCUUUUAAGGCUUUAGCUUCUUGCAAGGACAGAUAGAUGGAACUGUGUGGUGUUGUCCCAAUCACAGUACAUGCCCUAACCUAAGAAAGCACGUUAAGCAGCAAAGAAAAAGAAAGCACUGGCUUUAUCCAUAGGCCUAUGGUUGAGCAAAGUGCUGAGCCUCCUCUAUGCUGAAAUAAAAGGUAGCUUUAACCUGCCACAAAAGUUUUCAAAAAAGAAAAGAGAAGGAUUUGCAUUUGUGCUUUUGGAGAAAAAGAAAAGCAAAAUGAUUGUAUAUAUCAGAGCAGCAUCUUAAAAAGAGAGGUUUAACUAGUAUGACUGGGCUAGUGCCCAAUGUAAUCUAGCACAGAUUUGAUGCUGACCUUAAAUAUCUGAUAUAUUAGUGUAGUGUCAGUCAGUCUCAUGGUUAACCUUAAUCAGAUGCCAAAUUUAGUGGUUAAUUUGUCUUUUUGUAUUGAGAAGUCAGACAGUAAAAGCAGCAAAGGAGAACAAGUAUAUUUUUUCCAAGUGUUUUUAAUAUUUUCACAUGCAGAAUAAAGGAGCCCAAUUUGUGCUGUCUUGUUUGGGCAAAAUGAGCAUGUGAUGACUGUACCAGUACUACUGGGCUUUUUGGGCCUGAUGCUGGCUGUAAAUUUUGGGCCUACUCUUGAAGAUGAUCCGCUGUGCGGGUACUCCUGUUCGCAUGGACAACGGGCCGUCUCUUGAGUCUGCAAAUUCCUGUUCUGUAUUUUUACGUACUCCUAGGUGUAUUUGAAUCUGAGAGGGAGGGAAGGAAGUAUGUGCUGCUCCGUUAUUCAACAUGUACAUCUCCUGGACACGUACGCACUCGUGUUUACAAAGCUGUUAUGUAUAAUUAUUUUAAAGAACAUAAAACUGGUACAUGU